GUACACCAAGAUUUACGUGGAAAACCCUCCAAUGAUGAGGGAAAAACCACGGGCCGAUAUAGAAAUAAUCCACUAUGGUAAAAAGGAAAUUACAAUAUUCUCACAAAUUUCUUUUUAAAAAGAAAGGAAAAAAAGCUUGAGGUAUUACAACUUGUAAGGAAAUAAAAAUGUUCAAAUCACCAUACUAGAAAACCAAAUCCUGCAAAAACAUCUGCUGCUUAUGUCUAAGGAGAAAACAAACUUCACAUUUCUUACAUUCUACACUAAGCACCGAAACCAAAGACGGUUGAUUUUGCUUGAGCCACUACAAUUGUAAAAGCACAACAUUGACGUCCUUAAGUUCAGUUCUUCUUGGAGAGCCAUAAGCGUCAAAAUUCCUUUCAUUUUUAUGCCAUCAACUAGCAAAAACGUCAUUGUAUGGCAAAUCCAUCAAGCUUCCACCACCUACCACCUUAUAUUCAGGAAGCACCAAAAAAAAGGAAAAAAAGGUUAGCCCAACUGAAUAGAAUUUGUCUAACCCAAGCAUUGCAAAUGUGAUAAUUGCCCCAAAUGUGAAAUACCCCUCCACAGUCACAUAUACACAAACAAUGAACUAUAAAAGUGCUCAUUGAAAUUCUAAUUAAGAAGCACUUGAGCUGGUGGUAGAAAUACAAUGGCAUGAAAAUUAUGACUUACACAACAAAGAAACCUAUAAAUUCUACUCAACAAACAGAAAGGAAAACCAUCAACUAUGAUCGAGUCAAUAACAUACUGUCAUACUUUUGUUAGGAAAUUAGUUUGCCACUGCAUUAUUUUUCUCCCUCCUACAUGUAGAAAAGAAGUUUCUAUUAAUUAUAGAAGUGAAACCCCAUAUUUAGACCAAGAAAAAACAGACUUAAGCAUCUGUGGUUAGUCAAGCAUACCUAGCUGAAGGAAAGAAUGAUCUAUCUCUCAACUUCUAGAGUAGGAAUAACACAAUUCAAUAUAAAUUCAUAUUUCCAAUGAGGUCAUGUUGCUGAAUGUUGGAGAUGUAGGCAAUGCUGAUCCAAACUUUCUCCUUUCUUCUUUAAGCAAUUUUGUCUCACAACAAGAGAAUUCUGGAUUUCAAGCACUAGCUGUUGCAUUCAGCUCUUCCUUCAGCAAAAAUGACCAAAGCUUAGCACAGCUUGAGAUCAAUAGCACUUGAAGAAACUUUCAGCAAAAAUUAAGCUUACCUGAAGUUAGAGGAACAAGUAGAAUGAAUUUUUUAUCCGUAAAGGCUUGGUGCACCAGUGCCACUCAUAGAGAGGCGUCUCAAGCUUCCCACAAUUGAACCCAAACUAAACAAUGGGGCCAAACCCCCUUCCAGAAAUUAAAGAACACCUGAACAAUCAAGGAUCAACCUUGAUACUGGAUGUAAAAAUGGAAAAGAAAAAAUUAAUGAACAAAAGUAAAUUAUUUAAAAAUAAAUAAAAAAGAAAAAUGGAAAAAUGUCAAGUUGUGAUGAGUUUUGAAAUGCACUGUCUUUCUACAGGUGCAGAAAAAUUAGGGAGUUAAGAUUAUUAUUCUGAUGUUAAUGGAAUUAUGGGAGUAGCUUAAUAAUGGGCUGGUCUCUACUUCCAUUUUUGUGAUUGAAAAAUAAAAUCUAAUUUGAAAUUGAUUCAUGUGUUAAAAACCUAGCUAUUUCCUUUUACAUAGGAUCAGGGAUGUGAAAAUCUUAGGCCAAUCAUAUUUACAUGUUAAUUUAAAUAUUUGAGAAAUUAAGAAGCCAAUACCAUUCCUAUGGACUAAAACCAGCUUCAUCAAAUUGUUGGUAUAGAAAUAAGCAAAUGUGUUUGAAAGAUUGAAUGAAAAAACCAGGUCAAUUGGAACUAAACUAAGCAAGUGCAACUAGAAAUCUUCUGAAGAUCAAACUUAAGCCACAAUAAAAUUGUUGCAACCGAAUGAAUAAUUGAGAACAACGUACUAACAUGUGAAUUUCAUCUGUAUGAGAUCUUUUGGCGGAAGGGUGGCAUGCAAAAGGAAAUAUGAUUUAAUUAUGUAGAAAGAGAAAUACACUAGAAACAUUUUAGAGAACAAGGAAAUAAGAUAGAUGAGAAAAGAAGAUUCUCACAAUUUUAAAAUUUAGAUGGGAAAAUUUGAAUUGCUGAACAUACCUUGUUGAAAUUAAGGAAGGAAGAGUGAUCUAAGAUUCAAUCCAGUAAAGACAUCUCCUGGUUACAAAAUUGCAUUAAGAUAGAAAAAUGUAAAAUAAACAAAAACUCAAAAGUAAAAAUAAAAGAAUUUGGAACUAAGUUGCGAAUGGGCAUACUUCAAUUACCUAUACGUAC
rnacentral:lncRNA from 1 species